GUGCAACCGCCAGGCCUUCUGCCGCCCCAGGUCUGGCUGUCAGAGGUCUCCCCCAGGCCCAGCAGCCCAGGUGGCACCCGCAUGUGCUGUCUCCCGGACCAAAUCUGUGUCCUCCACGGGACGUUCUUUGUGUUUCUAAUUCUCCCGGGCCAUUUUUUUUUUUUCUUUCAGUUGUCAGAGAGUCGGAUCUAUAGAGGUUAUAGUCACCACCUCGCCCACAGUCUCGGGAAUCCCCAGCCGAACCAAAUGAGUCUUGGAGCCAAGAGCACCAAAGCCACCAAGAGCAACGUUCACCACCUCUGUCACCCGGAGGUCGGGAGCCUCUGUGGCGGCUGCUUCGUGGUUAUUCCCGGGUGACUUUGUGAAGCGCACAGAUGGGGGACGCCUCGGGCACUCAUUCAGGGCCAGCUGAUGGAUCGUCUCAUUUCCCGACUUGAUGGGCCGGAACCUGGGCUGGCGGGGCCGGCGGGGACAAUGUGCGUGUAGGGACCCAGCCGGAUGGCCCCGUAGGCCGGGCGCUGCGUCCCCGGUUCCCGAGGACAGCGUGACUGAGUGAGGUGGCGGUUUUCCGGAGCUCCAGGCGCCGCGCCGCCUCCUUCCUGGGGCCUCGGCGUCCUCCCGCACCGCGCCGUUGGCAUCCUUUCCUGCGGGAGGCUGCAAGAGGACGGGACUCGGAGAGGACUCUUCGGGGGUGUGCAAGCCAGCCGCGGGAGGAGGGGUGGUGGUUCCCAGAAUUUCCCCCAGGC